rnacentral:rRNA from 1 species
UACGAAGGGGGCUAGCGUUGUUCGGAAUUACUGGGCGUAAAGCGCACGUAGGCGGACUACUAAGUCAGGGGUGAAAGCCCGGAGCUCAACUCCGGAACUGCCAUUGAAACUGUGAGACUUGAGGAUGAGAGAGGUGAGUGGAAUUCCCAGUGUAGAGGUGAAAUUCGUAGAUAUUGGGAAGAACACCGGUGGCGAAGGCGGCUCACUGGCUCAUUUCUGACGCUCAGGCGCGACAGCGUGGGGAUCAAACAGG